rnacentral:rRNA from 1 species
CCUACGGGUGGCAGCAGUGAGGAAUAUUGGUCAAUGGGCGAGAGCCUGAACCAGCCAAGUCGCGUGAGGGAGUACUGCCCUAUGGGUUGUAAACCUCUUUUGUCGGGGAGCAAAAGCCGGACGUGUCCGGCUGUGAGAGUACCCGAAGAAAAAGCAUCGGCUAACUCCGUGCCAGCAGCCGCGGUAAUACGGAGGAUGCGAGCGUUAUCCGGAUUUAUUGGGUUUAAAUGGUGCGCAGGCGGAUUUUUAAGUCAGCGGUAAAAUCGUGGGGCUCAACCCCAUCCAGCCGUUGAAACUGGGGAUCUAGAGUGUGCGAGAGGUAUGCGGAAUGCGUGGUGUAGCGGUGAAAUGCAUAGAUAUCACGCAGAACCCCGAUUGCGAAGGCAGCAUACCGGUGCACAACUGACGCUCAGGCACGAAAGCGUGGGUAUCGAACAGGAUUAGAUACCCUUGUAGUC